rnacentral:rRNA from 1 species
GGAGCUUGCUCCUCUGAUCAGUGGCGAACGGGUGAGUAACACGUGAGCAACCUGCCCCAGACUCUGGGAUAACAGUUGGAAACGGCUGCUAAUACCGGAUACGAGACGGAGAGGCAUCUCUACCGUCUGGAAAGUUUUUCGGUCUGGGACGGACUCGCGGCCUAUCAGCUAGUUGGUGAGGUAAUGGCUCACCAAGGCGACGACGGGUAGCCGGCCUGAGAGGGCGACCGGCCACACUGGGACUGAGACACGGCCCAGGCUCCUACGGGAGGCAGCAGUGGGGAAUAUUGCACAAUGGGCGAAAGCCUGAUGCAGCGACGCCGCGUGAGGGAUGACGGCCUUCGGGUUGUAAACCUCUUUCAGCAGGGAAGAAGCGAAAGUGACGGUACCUGCAGAAGAAGCACCGGCUAACUACGUGCCAGCAGCCGCGGUAAUACGUAGGGUGCGAGCGUUGUCCGGAAUUAUUGGGCGUAAAGAGCUUGUAGGCGGUUUGUCGCGUCUGCAGUGAAAAUCCGAGGCUCAACCUCGGACUUGCUGUGGGUACGGGCAGACUAGAGUAUGGUAGGGGAGACCGGAAUUCCUGGUGUAGCGGUGGAAUGCGCAGAUAUCAGGAGGAACACCGAUGGCGAAGGCAGGUCUCUGGGCCAUAACUGACGCUGAGAAGCGAAAGCAUGGGGAGCGAACAGGAUUAGAUACCCUGGUAGUCCAUGCCGUAAACGUUGGGCGCUAGGUGUGGGGCUCAUUCCACGAGCUCCGUGCCGCAGCUAGCGCAUUAAGCGCC